AAAUAGCUUUCUCAGAACGCGUGGGGAGGGAGUGCUGGGAGUUUAUCCAGCUGGAGCCAAAAGGAGCAGAGCUUCUCCCGUAGCCAUAAAUACUGAGAGAAGAGAAGAGGAAAUGAAAAAGUUUUUGUACGACUACGCAUCCCACUACAGUGAUUACUUAUAUGCGACUGAAGAGUACUAUAUUGACAACACCACACUAAUACCCACCAUGUACACGAUGUACACGUAUUAUGAAGGAGUUUCUGGACUCAGUGGCAUUACCCCUGCAGUGCCAUCUGCCUCUGCUCCUCCUCCUCAGCCUCCUGCACCUCCUGCUAUGAUGCACCAAAGGUACGAAGCCACGCAGCAUUCAAGCACUCACUCCAAGCACCCCUUCAAGCCAGCAAAAUGCAACUCUCCCCCAAAGCAUCAGCGCUCCGAAGCACCUUUCCACAACCAUCAGACCUCUGGGCAUCCAGCUCUGUGCUAACGACAGCCAAAGAAGCAUGAAUCACCGCAGGAGCUGCGGAAAAAUUAAGCCAAAGGGACUUUUAGGGUGUUUACCCAUCCAUCCAACUCUCUGCUUGCAGCCUCCAGCAUGGGGAACUCCACGCUCCCGGUGCCCAAACCCUGUUGGCACCCAGGUGCGCUCUGAAUUCCCACACGGCCUCAAGUCCAUCCAACACACAAUGGGAGGACAUGGGAAUCACUUCCUAACCUCUUCCCCUCUUUGCAGACAGAUGGCUUAGACGAAGAAAAGAAUACCGUCACCGCAUUGGAAGUUACAUCCUCUGCACGAAGCAGUCAUCUCUGUUUUUAGUACAGCUGUGAUUUUAUACACAGAUUUUUCAGCAGAUGGAUGCCAUCCCAGGCCAUAAAAGCUGUGCAAACACUGAGGAGCUUUGUAAUGACUAGGUUCUUUCCUACUUCCUAUUAUUCUAUUGUAAAUAUGAACUCCUGCCAAUAAAGUGACUUAACA
rnacentral:lncRNA from 7 species